GACAGAGGGUGCAAACGUUGUUCGGAAUUACUGGGCGUAAAGCGCGUGUAGGCUGCUUCGCAAGUCGGAUGUGAAAGCCCUGGGCUCAACCUAGGAAGUGCACUCGAAACUGCGAAGCUUGAGUCCUGGAGAGGAAGGCGGAAUUCUCGGUGUAGAGGUGGAAUUCGUAGAUAUCGAGAGGAACACCGGUGGCGAAGGCGGCCUUCUGGACAGUGACUGACGCUGAGACGCGAAAGCGUGGGGAGCAAACAGG
rnacentral:rRNA from 1 species